GUAGGGAAUAUUGGGCAAUGGAGGCAACUCUGACCCAGCCAUGCCGCGUGCAGGAUGACGGCCCUCUGGGUUGUAAACUGCUUUUAUACGGGAAGAAAAAAUACUACGUGUAGUAUACUGACGGUACCGUAAGAAUAAGGAUCGGCUAACUCCGUGCCAGCAGCCGCGGUAAUACGGAGGAUCCAAGCGUUGUCCGGAUUUAUUGGGUUUAAAGGGUGCGUAGGCGGAUCUUUAAGUCAGUGGUGAAAGCCUGCAGCUUAACUGUAGAUUGGCCAUUGAAACUGAAGAUCUUGAAUGUGGUUAAAGUAGGCGGAAUGUAUCAUGUAGCGGUGAAAUGCUUAGAUAUGAUACAGAACACCGAUAGCGAAGGCAGCUUGCUGAACCAUUAUUGACGCUGAGGCACGAAAGCGUGGGGAGCGAACAGGAUUAGAAACCCUAGUAGUCC
rnacentral:rRNA from 1 species